GCCAGAGGGGGCAAGCGUUGCUCGGAAUUACUGGGCGGAAAGGGCGCGUAGGCGGGAUGGCAAGUCGGUCGUGAAAUCCCUCGGCUCAACUGAGGAUCGUCGAUCGAUACUGCCGUUCUUGAGGAUUGCAGAGGAGACUGGAAUUCCCGGUGUAGCGGUGAAAUGUGUAGAGAUCGGGAGGAACACCGGUGGCGAAGGCGGGUCUCUGGGCAAUUCCUGACGCUGAGGAGCGAAAGCGUGGGGAGCAAACAGG
rnacentral:rRNA from 1 species